AUUUUGAGUUAAAAAAAAUUAGCUGAUCCGCAGGUUGGCGGGGGGAGGGGGGGUGGUGGACCCGCGAACCCACCUCUAAUUCCACGGUGGUUGAGGUGACAGUAUCUCUCAUGCCACAGCCUUGGUAUGUCUUCUGUGAUUGUUUGAAAACAUUGUUGUUGUUGCCUGGUGUCAUCACUUGUCUCAUCAAACAACAUUAACAUUCUGUUUAUGCUCAUGUAGCUCUCUCCUAUCAGACCUCGUUCAUCAUGGUACAUCUUGAAAGCUCCCUUAUGUAUGAUGAUUGUUAUCUUUUUGAAGUUGUCCAGGACUCGACACAUUGUUUUUGAGCUCUGGAACGUGGUAGACUUCACUGAUUGUAUACCAUUUUUGGAUCAGAUCUUGACAGUCUAUACAAUCAGUGUGGUAGACUACAAAGACUAAUUCGAACUUAUUGACCUUCAAACAUCCGAACGGCUCCUUAAUUUGCUCCAACAGAACUCUUUCUGUGUGUGUUAGUUUGCAUGCUCACCUCCUUUAUAUUUAAAAAGAAAACUUAGACAUAAAUAUCUACAAACUAGAAACUUUCUUUUUGUGAUCUUUUACGAAUAAAUCACUCUCCUUUAUUUUAUAAGUUAUUGCAGCUAUACUCGCACUCGUCAUGGGACAACGGUUUCUACAGACUCAGAAGAUUAUGCCGGCUGGUUUGGUUGCUGGGAUCAGGUUCCACAUAUAUCAAGCUCAUGAUCACAGGAUUGCCUUGUCUCAGUUGAUGCUACAAAAAUGUCUAUCGAUCCAUCAAAACCAACAGGAGGAUCUGAAGAGUCUGUUCUAUCAUAUGGGCACAGAGGCGCACACUUGCCUGCCCUGCUUCCUGUUUCCCAAGUUUCUUCAUUUGUUUGUUCCUUUUUUCUGGUGGUUGUACAGCUUCUCUCCGCCUUAAGUUCACUUUUUUACCAUAGCAUCUCCGCCCCUAGCUUUCAAAUCUUAUUGCAUUGACCCAAAAAAAAAAAGAAUCUGUUAUUUGCAAGGGUUAUCUGGUUCAACUUUCAAAAAUAUCUUCUUUUCUCCUUAAUGUAACCAACAUUCUGCUUUCUUGGUCCCAUCGAUGAUCAUACUCUUCGUCUCUGCAGUAUCUCUAUCUACAUCAACCUCUGCUCAUCAUCACAAAGUUUCCUCGUCUUUUGUUGUGUACUUAUGCUUGCAGUUUCCCCCUUGCUCAUUUGCUCUACUUUUACUGAAUCAAGCUAUUGAGAAGACCCUAAGUCAUUAACUAUCCAUCACCGGAAAUUCUCUUCUCCUUUUAUACCAAGUGAGACUCAUAAUCAUCUGCCUUCCCUGCAUCACUACACUUGUUAUUCCUAGGUCUGAUCCAAAAAAUGGUCAUGUUAUCAUCUUCUUUAACUUAAUCUGUUCCCUCUAUACGCUUCUCUGUUUUAAUCUAUUAUAACAACAUAAGUUUGCAUUCAAACAUUGUCAAGUUAGAUGAAUAGAGUAGAGAUAUCUAUUUACACUGCCCACUGUAUUAAAAGGCUUUUCUAACAUUUACAAGAACAAAAAACAAAACAAAAAAAAGAAGCCGACAAGCCAAAUCUACUACCCAAACACUGCCUCAUGGUCAUCACCAGAAAAACCAA